AUAACACAGUCGGAAGCCAUUGGACCGUUCUGAAGUCAAAAUGUGCUAUAGAGGAGACUUUUCGAAAAGCUUCUACCAGAAUUAAACUCGUGCGCUGAUAUUGAGGACUCUGUUAGGAAAAGCACAACAAAAAAUUCAUUUGAAAGAAUGGGAAAUUUGUUACAAGUGAAAAUACACUAAAACCAGAUGUAAUGGCUUGCUUAGCUGGAUCAGUGACAUCAAAUUCUAUAAAGUCCUAAUGGAAAGGAGACGACCACUUGAUCUUAUGUUACACUGGUAUAAUGGGUGCAGGUUGCUUUAAGAAUCGCGAGUGUUUUGGAUAUGCAUCUUUCUUGGAAAAGCUCUUCAAGAGAUGGUAGCUGUAUUUGAGUGAUAUGUGUACAGACUUGUUUUAAUAAUGUUUUAAUAAUGUGAAAUGUAUUUUACAAUACUCAAGUACUAUUUCCAAUGUCUAUAGUUUUUUUUUGUCAGUGUUUGUGUAUGUAUGUAUGUAUGCAUAAUUUUCACUUUUAUAUUUGGAACAAUUUAAAUACAAGAAUAAAACUGUCUAAAUGCUCAUUUGAAAUGGGAGGUAAUCUAGACAUGGACUUUAGAAGCAGGACUUUAUUGGGUUAUAUCCCCUUGACUACAUGUCCCGAGAAUUCAGGGAUAUCGACAUCAAGGGACGUAAUUCGGAAUAUAUGUGGCUUAAAAACGUGACAAUUUUGUAAUUGCACUCCUUUGAAAACAUGUUAAAACUAAGAGACAAUGAGGAGUGUAUAAAAGGAAAAAAGAAAAGCUCAGAUUUAGAUACAAUUUCAGAAAGAUCUAAUACCUAAUAUUUAAAAUAUCUAAUAUAGCUAAUAUUUAAACUUGAAUGUCAGCAUAAAGAGAGCUGUCCCCAAAAAACGCUUUAAAUAUCAAAAUACUUGACAACUUCCGUUCACUGACAUUAAAGAGAGCACUUAGCUGAAAGCGACUCCCAAAGUUAUAAGGUGGAGAUCUCUCACAAAGGCCUUGGGAAACACAUUUGAGAUCAAUUUGGGAUCAAAAAUGAAAUCUACAGGUGAAGACAGACGUAGAGAACAUCAUACCACCAAGUUUAUGUCUGUGUUAAAGAAAAAGCCUCAGGCCUAUAGAAUAUUAAAUGUAACAUGACCUUUAUACCCAAUGUCUGGCUUUGUUCAAAUGAUCGAAUGAAAUCGUGUGAUUUCGUCCCUGGAAAAAA